rnacentral:rRNA from 1 species
UGUGUAGGUGGUGCUCUAAGUUUGGUGUGAAAUCUCCCGGCUUAACUGGGAGGGUGCGCCGAAAACUGGAGUGCUUGAGUAUGGGAGAGGUAAGCGGAAUUCCUGGUGUAGCGGUGAAAUGCGUAGAUAUCAGGAGGAACACCUGUGGUGUAGACAGCUUGCUGGACCAUCACUGACACUGAGACACGAAAGCGUGGGUAGCAAACAGGAUUAGAUACCCUGGUAGUCCACGCCCUAAACGAUGCAUACUUGGUGUGAGCCAUUCAUUUGGUUCGUGCCGGAGCUAACGCGUUAAGUAUGCCGCCUGGGGAGUACGGUCGCAAGGCUGAA